CACUUGGUAGCACAGGGUGUGCAUCUGUUCUACGUUACGACAUAUUUCUCUAGCUAUGCAGGAGAUCUGGUUCGAUUCCGGGCUGGGUGG